rnacentral:rRNA from 1 species
GAUUAGAGUUUGAUCCUGGCUCAGAACGAACGCUGGCGGCAGGCUUAACACAUGCAAGUCGAACGAUGUAGCAAUACAUAGUGGCGCACGGGUGAGUAACGCGUGGGAAUGUACCUUGUAGUGGGGAAUAACUUCGGGAAACUGAAGCUAAUACCGCAUACGCCCGAGAGGGGAAAGAUUUAUCGCUAUAAGAUCAGCCCGCGUGAGAUUAGGUAGUUGGUGGGGUAAUGGCCUACCAAGCCUACGAUCUCUAGCUGGUCUGAGAGGAUGAUCAGCCACACUGGAACUGAGACACGGUCCAGACUCCUACGGGAGGCAGCAGUGGGGAAUAUUGGGCAAUGGGCGAAAGCCUGAUCCAGCAAUGCCGCGUGAGUGAUGAAGGCCUUAGGGUUGUAAAGCUCUUUUACCAGGGAUGAUAAUGACAGUACCUGAGAAUAG